AUUGAACGCUGGCGGCAUGCCUUACGCAUGCAAGUCGAACGGCAGCACGGGAGCAAUCCUGGUGGCGAGUGGCGAACGGGUGAGUAAUAUAUCGGAACGUGCCCAGUCGUGGGGGAUAACGUAGCGAAAGCUACGCUAAUACCGCAUACGAUCUAUGGAUGAAAGCGGGGGAUCGCAAGACCUCGCGCGAUUGGAGCGGCCGAUAUCAGAUUAGGUAGUUGGUGAGGUAAAGGCUCACCAAGCCGACGAUCUGUAGCUGGUCUGAGAGGACGACCAGUCACACUGGGACUGAGACACGGCCCAGACUCCUACGGGAGGCAGCAGUGGGGAAUUUUGGACAAUGGGCGCAAGCCUGAUCCAGCAAUGCCGCGUGCAGGAUGAAGGCCUUCGGGUUGUAAACUGCUUUUGUACGGAGCGAAAAGGCUUCCACUAAUACUGGGGGCUCAUGACGGUACCGUAAGAAUAAGCACCGGCUAACUACGUGCCAGCCGCCGGGGUAAGAC
rnacentral:rRNA from 1 species